rnacentral:rRNA from 1 species
UUCGGUGGGGAUUAGUGGCGAACGGGUGAGUAACACGUGGGCAAUCUGCCCUGCACUCUGGGACAAGCCCUGGAAACGGGGUCUAAUACCGGAUACAACCACUGACCGCAUGGUCGGGUGGUGGAAAGCUCCGGCGGUGCAGGAUGAGCCCGCGGCCUAUCAGCUUGUUGGUGAGGUAACGGCUCACCAAGGCGACGACGGGUAGCCGGCCUGAGAGGGCGACCGGCCACACUGGGACUGAGACACGGCCCAGACUCCUACGGGAGGCAGCAGUGGGGAAUAUUGCACAAUGGGCGAAAGCCUGAUGCAGCGACGCCGCGUGAGGGAUGACGGCCUUCGGGUUGUAAACCUCUUUCAGCAGGGAAGAAGCGAGAGUGACGGUACCUGCAGAAGAAGCGCCGGCUAACUACGUGCCAGCAGCCGCGGUAAUACGUAGGGCGCAAGCGUUGUCCGGAAUUAUUGGGCGUAAAGAGCUCGUAGGCGGCUUGUCACGUCGG